rfam:Brachypodium distachyon strain Bd21 chromosome 5, whole genome shotgun sequence.
ACAGUACUCCUUCCGUCCAACAAAGGAUGUUUCAACUUUAACUAAAUUUGAAUGCAUUUGUACACUAAGUCAUGUCAAAUACAUCUAAAUUUUAAAAAACUUGAGACAUUUUUUGUUGUACGGAGGUAGUAUACC